rnacentral:lncRNA from 1 species
CCAUCACCUGUGCCACGCCCGUCACCUGUGCCACGCCCUACACCUGCGGGGAUUGUGGGAAGGGAUUCGGGGGAAGCUCCGCCCUCAUCCGGCACCAGCGGCUGCACCUGGGCUAGGAAAAACCGGAACCGGAAUUGAAACCGGGACCGGGACUGGGAAAGUUCUGGAACCGGAACUGGAACUGGGAUCAGAACCUGAACUGAGACCAGAACCGGAACCAGAAUUGAAACUGGGACUGGGAAAGUUCCGGAACCGGAACUGGACCUGAACCGGGAUAGGGAAACUUCCAGAACCAGGACUGGAACUGGAACUGGAACCUGAACUGAGACCGGAACCGGAACCGGAAUUGGGACCAGAACCAGGACUGGGAAACAACAAAACCAGGACUGGAACUGGGUCCAGAACCGGAUCUGGAACCGGGAUCAGAACCAGGACCUGGACCAGGAGAACUCCAGAACAGGGAAAUUUCUGGAACUGGAACCGGGACCAGAACUGGGACUGAGAAACAACAAAACCAGGACUGGAACUGGGACACUAACUGGAACCGGAGCCCUCCAGAACCGGGACUGAAACUGGAACCGGAACCAGGACUGGAACCAGGAAACCACCGGAACUGGGACCUUUCUAGAGUCAGAACUGGGACCAGGAACCUUCCAGAACCCUCUGGAACCGGGACCAUUCCAGAACCUGGAACCUUCCAGAACUGGGACCCUUCCGGAGCCAGAACCGGGACCUUUCCAGAACCGGGACCCUUCUGGGUUGGACCCUUCUGAACUGGAGCCCUUUGGAACCGGGAACCUUCCGGAACCGGGACAGGAGGGGAAAGGACUCGAGGGGGCGUCCCCGUGGCCAUGGAGCUGUGGGGGAACCCCCGACCCUGGGAAUCCAUUCCUGACCCCCCAAAAUCCAUUCCGGACCUUUGGGAAUCCAUUCCGGACCCCCAAAUCCAUUCCUGAUCCCCAAAAUCCAUUCCGGACCCCCAAAUCCAAUCCUGACCCCCCCAAAAUCCAUUCCGGACCUUUGGGAAUCCAUUCCUGA